AGUGAACGCUGGCGGUAGGCCUAACACAUGCAAGUCGAACGGCAGCACAGUAAGAGCUUGCUCUUACGGGUGGCGAGUGGCGGACGGGUGAGGAAUACAUCGGAAUCUACUUUUUCGUGGGGGAUAACGUAGGGAAACUUACGCUAAUACCGCAUACGACCUACGGGUGAAAGCAGGGGAUCUUCGGACCUUGCGCGAUUGAAUGAGCCGAUGUCGGAUUAGCUAGUUGGCGGGGUAGAGGCCCACCAAGGCGACGAUGCGUAGCUGGUCUGAGAGGAUGGAUAGACAGCCGGGCAGAGAGAAAGAGCACCGACACCUAGAAGAGGAAGCGGUGGGGACUCUUAGACGAUGGACGAAUGCCUGAUACAGCAAUAUGGCGUGAAAGAAGAACGACUUAUGCUUCUAGAGCCAUUAUGUCCGGAAAGAAAUAAAGCACGUUAACCACACGCUGUAAUGACGGUACCCAAAGAAUAAGCACCGGCUAACUUCGUG
rnacentral:rRNA from 1 species